rnacentral:rRNA from 1 species
CACACUGUAAACGAUGUGCACUAGGUGCUGGGGCGGAUGCUUCAGUGCCGGAGCUAACGCGGUAAGUGCACCGCCUGGGGAGUAUGCUCGCAAGGGUGAAACUCAAAGGAAUUGACGGGGGCCCGCACAAGCGGUGGAGCAUGUGGUUUAAUUCGAUGGUACGCGAGGAACCUUACCUGGGUUUGACAUACAGGGGGAUGCGGUAGCGAUAUCGCAGCCUAGCAAUAGGCCCCUGUACAGGUGC